rfam:Eucalyptus grandis cultivar BRASTZ1 unplaced genomic scaffold scaffold_9, whole genome shotgun sequence.
UGAAAGAGACUUUCUAAUUAGCCAAGGAGACUGCCUGAUACCAGCACAAACUACUCAAAUGCUCAGUUCAAGUCGAAUAGAUCGAGUCAGAGCAGGCAAGUCAUCCUUGGCUAUUUGUCCUUUCUUCAUA